rnacentral:misc_RNA from 1 species
GGCAUAAAAUCAAAUACCCAAUCUGGGAUUGAAUCAGGAAUAACAUUGAACUUAUUUACUGCAGUGUGUGAGUACUCCUCAGUUUUAUAUCUGUAUAUAUCAUUUAGUUGUUGAAAGUCUAACCAGAAGUAACUUCGAAUGUGAUAGCUCAAAGCAUGCAAACGUUUCACAAUUCUCUCAAUACAUUCUUUUCCUUCUGUAUCAUGUUUCAACAUUGACAAGGCACACCUUAAUGCCAUAAAAAAAAGUGCUUGAAUUUCAAUAGGAUAACCGUAAAUGCCCAUUCUGCGAUCAAUCAUAGAGCAUCCAUCAGCACAAAGAAGGGUUGGGAAUGUAUCAAACCCCUCUGACAAGCACAGAGUCAAUAUAAGCCUCAUCCCCUUUUGACACUCUGGAGUCUCUGCCAGAGACAAAUCUCCAGUAGACUUGGUAUAUGCACGCAGCAGAAUGAUCCACCAGAAACCAGAGUCAACAGGAGCCACUCUUCCAAUUGCACUUUCACCAANNNNNNGAGUAUCUGUUUUCCGAACAGGAUCGUGAAGAACUUUAAAGCUAGCUGGCAUUACCCCUUC